GAUGAACGCUGGCGGCGUGCCUAAUACAUGCAAGUCGAGCGAACAGACGAGGAGCUUGCUCCUCUGACGUUAGCGGCGGACGGGUGAGUAACACGUGGAUAACCUACCUAUAAGACUGGGAUAACUUCGGGAAACCGGAGCUAAUACCGGAUAAUAUAUUGAACCGCAUGGUUCAAUAGUGAAAGACGGUUUUGCUGUCACUUAUAGAUGGAUCGGCGCCGCAUUAGCUAGUUGGUAAGGUAACGGCUUACCAAGGCAACGAUGCGUAGCCGACCUGAGAGGGUGAUCGGCCACACUGGAACUGAGACGCGGUCCAGACUCCUACGGGAGGCAGCAGUAGGGAAUCUUCCGCAAUGGGCGAAAGCCUGACGGAGCAACGCCGCGUGAGUGAUGAAGGUCUUCGGAUCGUAAAACUCUGUUAUUAGGGAAGAACAAAUGUGUAAGUAACUAUGCACGUCUUGACGGUACCUAAUCAGAAAGCCACGGCUAACUACGUG
rnacentral:rRNA from 1 species